rnacentral:rRNA from 1 species
CAAUAGCGUAUAUUAAAGUUGUUGCAGUUAAAAAGCUCGUAGUUGGAUUUCUGGUUUGAACGUCCGGUCGACCUUGUGUCAGUACUAUGGAUGUUUGGGCCAUAUUUUGUGAGGAUGCCUUGCUGCCAUUGAGUUGGUGGUUUGGUGAACUUGCAUCGUUUACUGUGAAAAAAUUAGAGUGUUUAAAGCAGGCGUUUGCUCAUUUGAAUACAUUAGCAUGGAAUAAUAAGAUACGACCUUGGUGGUCUAUUUUGUUGGUUUGCACGCCAGGGUAAUGAUUAAUAGGGACAGUUGGGGGUAUUCAUAUUUCAACGUCAGAGGUGAAAUUCUUGGAUCGUUGGAAGAUGAGCUUAGGCGAAAGCAUUUACCAAGGAUGUUUNCAUUAA